GACGAACGCUGGCGGCGUGCUUAACACAUGCAAGUCGAACGGAAAGGCCCUGCUUUUGUGGGGUGCUCGAGUGGCGAACGGGUGAGUAACACGUGAGUAACCUGCCCUUGACUUUGGGAUAACUUCAGGAAACUGGGGCUAAUAUCGGAUAGGAGCUCCUGCUGCAUGGUGGGGGUUGGAACGUUUCGGCGGUUGGGGAUGGACUCGCGGCUUAUCAGCUUGUUGGUGGGGUAGUGGCUUACCAAGGAUUUGACGGGUAGCCGGCCUGAGAGGGUGACCGGCCACAUUGGGACUGAGAUACGGCCCAGACUCCUACGGGAGGCAGCAGUGGGGAAUAUUGCACAAUGAGCGGAAGCCUGAUGCAGCAGCGCCGCGUGCGGGAUGACGGCCUUCGGGUUGUAAACCGCUUUCGCCUGUGACGAAGCGUGAGUGACGGUAAUGAGUAAAGAAGCACCGGCUAACUACGUG
rnacentral:rRNA from 1 species